rnacentral:rRNA from 1 species
GAGUUUGAUCAUGGCUCAGGACGAACGCUGGCGGCGUGCCUAACACAUGCAAGUCGAGCGAGGAAGCCCCUUCGGGGGUGGAAUAGCGGCGGACGGGUGAGUAACACGUGGGUAACCUGCCUCAAAGAGGGGGAUAGCCUCCCGAAAGGGAGAUUAAUACCGCAUAGAAGGUAAAAAUCGCAUGAUAAAUGCCUUAAAGGAGCAAUCCGCUUUGAGAUGGGCCCGCGUCGCAUUAGCUAGUUGGAGGGAUAAAAGCCCCCCAAGGCGACGAUGCGUAGCCGACCUGAGAGGGUGAACGGCCACAUUGGAACUGAGAUACGGUCCAGACUCCUACGGGAGGCAGCAGUGGGGAAUAUUGCACAAUGGGGGAAACCCUGAUGCAGCAACGCCGCGUGAGUGAAGAAGGUUUUCGGAUCGUAAAGCUCUGUCAUCCGGGACGAUAAUGACGGUACCGGAAGAGGAAGCCACGGCUAACUACGUGCCAGCAGCCGCGGUAAUAC